rnacentral:rRNA from 1 species
AGCGGCGGACGGGUGAGUAACACGUGGGCAACCCUGCCCUGGAGCGGGGAGUAACAUUUGGAAACAGAUGCUAAUAUCGCAUAAUAAUCAAAACCACAUGGUUUUUGAUUUUCAAAGAUGGCUUCGGCUAUCACUCCCAGGAUGGGCCCGCGGUGCAUUAGCUAGUUGGUAAGGUAACGGCUUACCAAGGCGAUGAUGCAUAGCCGAGUUGAGAGACUGAUCGGCCACAAUGGGAACUGAGACACGGUCCAUACUCC